AGUGAACGCUGGCGGUAGGCCUAACACAUGCAAGUCGAACGGCCGCACAGUAAGAGUUUGCUCUUACGGGUGGCGAGUGGCGGACGGGUGAGGCAUACAUCGCAAUCUAAUAUUUCUUGGGGGACAACGUGGGAAAACUGACGCUACUACCGCAUACGAUCAACGGCUGAAAUCAGUAGUUCUUCAGACCUUUCCCGAUUCUAAUAGACGAUGUCGGAUUAGCUAGUUGGCGGGGUAAAGGCCCACCAAGGCAACGAUCCGUAGCUGGUCUGAGAGGAUGAUCAGCCACACUGGAACUGAGACACGGUCCAGACUCCUACGGGAGGCAGCAGUGGGGAAUAUUGGACAAUGGGCGCAAGCCUGAUCCAGCCAUACCGCGUGAGUGAAGAAGGCCUUCGGGUUGUAAAGCCCUUUUGUUGGGAAAGAAAAGCAGCAGAAUAAUCCCCCGCUGUUCUGACGGUACCCAAAGAAUAAGCACCGGCUAACUUCGUG
rnacentral:rRNA from 1 species